UAUCUUUGUUGUCGCAAUGGUUCUCUCUCUCCAUCCGGAGAAAGGGAUUAAUAGGGAAUCGGGUGAAAAUCCCGAACAGUCCCGCUGCUGUGAGCUUCAUUAAAACGUACGGACAUUUCUUUGCCACUGUUCGGGGUUUCAGAAGAACCUUAAAAACGGGAAGGCGUCCGGAGGAAGCGAGUCAGAAGACCUGCCUUUGCACGCAUUGUUAC
rnacentral:ncRNA from 2 species